rnacentral:snRNA from 1 species
CGAUAUGAGGGUGAUCUGGCUGUGACAUGUGUCACUCCAUUGAUUGCCAGGGUUGAUUCGAUUGAUCUGGUUGGCUAGGCAGGCGUCCCCUUCCUAUCUCACUGCUCUGUGCGUGUCACUCCCGCAGCUGCAUACUCCGUCAAAGAGGGCAACCAUCCCUGCUAGGGGGAGACCGGUCUUCCCUCAAGGGUAUAUGAGUAGCUGAGCUUCCCUGCUAGAACUGCCAAACAAACUCUCAAAGGAGAGAGCUCAGACUCUGGAAGGAGGCUUGCUUGACAAAGACAAGCAAAGGUGGUUUU